GGGGAGAUGGCAGAGUGGUCGAAUGCGGUCGUCUUGAAAACGACAGACCCGCGAGGGUCCGUGGGUUCAAAUCCCACUCUCCCCUCCA
rnacentral:tRNA from 1 species